AUUCUUUCAUAGUUCAUGAUGAUUGGGUUUUCACACUAUGUGUAAGAUGUGCCUCCAUCAAACCUUGUUAGAAUGUUGGCAUGUUACCCAUCUGAUG
ensembl:snoRNA